rnacentral:hammerhead_ribozyme from 1 species
AUCCAUGUGACGAACCCCAAAUAGGACGAAACGCGCUUUCUGGAU